rnacentral:rRNA from 1 species
AACGAACGCUGGCGGCAUGCCUAACACAUGCAAGUCGAACGAGAUCUUCGGGUCUAGUGGCGCACGGGUGCGUAACGCGUGGGAAUCUGCCCUUUGGUUCGGGAUAACAGUUGGAAACGACUGCUAAUACCGGAUGAUGACGAAAGUCCAAAGAUUUAUCGCCAGAGGAUGAGCCCGCGUAGGAUUAGCUAGUUGGUGUGGUAAAGGCGCACCAAGGCGACGAUCCUUAGCUGGUCUGAGAGGAUGAUCAGCCACACUGGGACUGAGACACGGCCCAGACUCCUACGGGAGGCAGCAGUGGGGAAUAUUGGACAAUGGGCGAAAGCCUGAUCCAGCAAUGCCGCGUGAGUGAUGAAGGCCUUAGGGUUGUAAGGCUCUUUUACCCGGGAUGAUAAUGACAGUACCGGGAGAAUAAGCUCCGGCUAACUCCGUGCCAGCAGCCGCCGUAA